AUUGAACGCUGGCGGCAGGCCUAACACAUGCAAGUCGAGCGGAGCGGCGGAAGGGUGAGUAAUGCCUAGGAAUCUGCCUGGUAGUGGGGGAUAACGUCCGGAAAAGGGCGCUAAUCCCGCAUACUAUCAGAUGAGCCUAGGUGGUAUUAGCUAGGUGGUGGGGGAAAGGCUUACCAAGGCGACGAUCCGUAACUGUUCUGAGAGGAUGACCAGCCACACUGGAACUGAGACACGGUCCAGACUCCUACGGGAGGCAGCAGUGGGGAAUAUUGCGCAAUGGGCGCAAGCCUGAUGCAGCCAUGCCGCGUGUGUGAAGAAGGCCUUCGGGUUGUAAAGCUCUUUCAGCGGGGAAGCGUUACCCGCAGAAGAAGCACCGGCUAACUCCGUGCCAGCAGCCGCGGUAAUAC
rnacentral:rRNA from 1 species